UACGUAGGUGGCAAGCGUUGUCCGGAUUUACUGGGCGUAAAGGGUGCGUAGGCGGCUUUCUAAGUUGGAUGUGAAAACUCUGGGCUCAACCCAGAGACUGCAUCCAAAACUGGAGAGCUUGGGUUCUGGAGGGGAAAGCGGAAUUCCUGGUGUAGCGGUGAAAUGCGUAGAUAUCUGGAGGAACACCGGUGGCGAAGGCGGCAUCCUGGACCACUAUUGACGCUGAGGAGCGAAAGCCAGGGGAGCAAACGGG
rnacentral:rRNA from 1 species